UACGUAGGUGGCAAGCGUUGUCCGGAUUUACUGGGCGUAAAGAGCUCGUAGGUGGUUUGUCACGUUGUUCGUGAAAACCCACAGCUCAACUGUGGGCGUGCGAGCGAUACGGGCAGACUAGAGUACUGCAGGGGAGACUGGAAUUCCUGGUGUAGCGGUGGAAUGCGCAGAUAUCAGGAGGAACACCGGUGGCGAAGGCGGGUCUCUGGGCAGUAACUGACGCUGAGGAGCGAAAGCGUGGGGAGCGAACAGG
rnacentral:rRNA from 1 species